ACAACAACAUUCGGACUGUCGGUCUACCGAGCAUUAUCACCCCGCUCGGUGGAAGAUUUUCCCUUUGUCUUUUAAG
rnacentral:pre_miRNA from 1 species